UCCGGGAGCCAGGCUUACAGGCUCAGCGCUUGUGAGGAAGUCGGAAGUUGCCGCUUGCGCUGCACCUUGGGCUUGAUUGUGUGGGGAGCUGGGUCAGCUCGGUAGCCCCACCAUGGUGAGCGAGUGGUUGCUCUCCACAGAUGGGGAAGAAUGGUGGGCCAAGACGAGCGAGGGGCUGCAGUCCCCAGGCAGAGAGGAGUGGCCGGCCAUGAAUGCAGUGACCUAUGACGAUGUGCAUGUUGACUUCACUUGGGAAGAGUGGGCUUUGCUGGAUCCUUCCCAGAAGCGUCUCUACAAAGAUGUGAUGUUGGAGACCUACGGGAACCUCACUGCUAUAGGUUACAAAUGGAAAGAUCAUCAUAUUGAAGAACAUUGUGAAAGUUCUAGAAGACAUGGAAGGCAUGAAAGAAGUCAUACUGGAGAGAAACCAUCUGAAUAUGCUCAAAGUGUUAAUUCCUAUGCAUAUCAUAGUCAUCUUCAAAGGCAUGAAAGAAUCCAUACUCGAGAGAAACCCUAUGGAUGUAAUCAAUGUGGUAAAACCUUUUCACAACACUGGUAUCUCCAAAUACAUAAAAGAGCACAUACUGGAGAGAAACCCUAUGAAUGUAAUCAGUGUGGGAAAGCCUUUGCAUGCAACAGUAGUCUCCAAAAACAUAAAAGAACACAUACUGGAGAGAAACCCUAUGAAUGUAAUCAAUGUGGUAAAGCCUUUGUAUGUCACAAUUAUCUCCAAAUCCAUAAAAGAAAACAUACUGGAGAGAAACCCUAUGAAUGUAACCAAUGUGGUAAAGCCUUUACACGUCACUCUAUUCUCCAAAUCCAUAAAAGAACACAUACUGGAGAGAAACCCUAUGAAUGUAACCAAUGUGGGAAAGCCUUUGCAUAUCACAAUUAUCUACAAAUCCAUAAAAGAACACAUACUGGCGAGAAACCUUAUGAAUGUAAUCAAUGUGGGAAAGCCUUUCCAGGUCCCAGUCAUCUUCAAAUGCAUGAAAAAACACAUACUGGUGAGAAACCCUAUGGAUGUAAUCAAUGUGGGAAAGCCUUUGCAUCAAACAGUAGUCUCCAAAUCCAUAAAAGAACACAUACUGGUGAGAAACCCUAUGAAUGCAAUCAAUGUGGUAAAGCCUUUGCACGUCAUAGUUAUCUCCAAAUCCAUAAAAGAACACAUACUGGUGAAAAACCCUAUGAGUGUAAUCAAUGUGGUAAAGCCUUUGCAUGUACUGUUACUCUCCGAAAACAUAAAAGAACACAUACUGGAGAGAAACCCUAUGAAUGUAAUCAGUGUGGUAAAGCCUUUGCACAGCAAAGUCAUCUUCAAAGACAUAAAAGCACACAUACUGGAGAGAAACCCUAUGAAUGUAAUCAGUGUGGUAUAGCCUUUUCACAACCCGCAUAUCUUCAAAUACAUAAAAGAACACAUACUGGCGAGAAACCCUAUGAAUGUAAUCAAUGUGGAAAAGCCUUUGCAUGUCACAGGAGUCUCCAAAUCCAUCAAAGAACACAUACUGUCAUCUUCAGAUGUUUAAGAUCCACAGUAUGCUCUGCCCAAAGUGAGAUUCACACACUUCAUUUAAUCAACACAAAAGGAAGAGAUGACCUUGUCCAUGUUUGAGGAACAGCAGGUGUCAAUUGACUUCAGAGUGUCAGCACACCAGGAGGAAAGUCUCUGAUGGGUGAAUUUUGGUGGAGCCUGUGUCUCUGGGAGUCCCUCUUCCUCCAAUCGGUGCAGGUGGGGCCUGUGGGUCCAGUGGUUGCUCUUCCAGUUGGUGAAGGUGGGGCCUAUUUUCCAGUGGUCACUGAUGCCAUGGGAGAAGGUUGCUGAGGGGGUGGGGAAGGAUGCUGCUGCUUGGUCUUUGGGGCUGGAAUUGGUGGAGGAGGGGCACAGUCCAGCCAGCAACUCAGGGACUCACAGCUUCUCAGUCAUCUCUGGUGCCACAGGGGAUCUCUACUGGGCAUUUUAACCUGUGGAUUAUUAUGAAGAUGAUUCCUUUCCUAAGCUCUACUAUCUAAUUGAUAAUAAUAUUAGUUUAUUCAGUUUUGAUGAAUAAAAAUAGAUACAAGGAAAUAUAACACAGCUAGGGCUUAUGAGUUUCCCCUAAGGAGCUAUAUAGAUCACAGUUUAGGUUAAUGACUAAGGAAAACAAUUGAGCCCCCAGGAGCCAGGCAGACUGUAAUUCUUUUAAUGCUGAAUAAUGCAGUCACAGGUUGCUGGGUGCAUCAUAAGGCUGAAAUAAUGCCUUAAAAUAACUUCAGGUUAGCUCCGAUGUUUUGAUAAUAACUUUGAGAUGACAGACUUCAGAAAACAAUCAAAAAUUCACAAGAACACAUAGCUGAGUUAUAGAUUCAUUAGUUUAGGGUCAAAAAUACAAAGCAGCCCAAUUGUUACUAGCUGACAUACUUUUCUUGCUAGGUUUGGUUGGUGAUCAAAGGUGAUAAUUACUUCUUUGUUCCCCCAUUUUCCCUUAUUUGCCUGAUAUAAGAAACUAUUGAUGAGUGGGUAUGCAUGACAAAGAUUCAAAGUAGAGCUGACUGAUUCUUUUUCAUAUA